GUCUUGACGACAGUGUGCAUAUUAUACUACAUUCUUUGGGCUCCUGCUUUCAGAGGAACGGCAACGGCCUGCCACUUCUGGAACACUUUGCUGAACUGUGGUGAGUCACCCAAGGAAGGGGACACACGCUUCCGCUUCUCAGAAGCAGCAGACACACAGAG